rnacentral:rRNA from 1 species
AGAACGAACGCUGGCGGCAUGCCUAAUACAUGCAAGUCGAACGAGAUCUUCGGAUCUAGUGGCGCACGGGUGCGUAACGCGUGGGAAUCUACCCUUGGGUUCGGAAUAACAGUUGGAAACGACUGCUAAUACCGGAUGAUGACGAAAGUCCAAAGAUUUAUCGCCCAAGGAUGAGCCCGCGUAGGAUUAGCUAGUUGGUGAGGUAAAGGCUCACCAAGGCUACGAUCCUUAGCUGGUCUGAGAGGAUGAUCAGCCACACUGGGACUGAGACACGGCCCAGACUCCUACGGGAGGCAGCAGUAGGAAUAUUAGGACAAGUGGGGGCAACCGUGAUCAGACAAUGCCGCGUGAGUGAUGAGGUCGUUAGGGUU